UCAAUCAAUCAAUUUCCUUUAUUGGCAUAGUAAGAGUACAUCAUAUACAUGGAUCAGAACACAACAUGGGUAACAAAACAUAGUAGGAGGUACUUUAGGAUAAAACUGUACAGACAUUGUGAGAUACAAAAGUGGCUCUUAGGACUUAUAGUGAUGUAAUUUCAUGGCAUCACUCAAAAAUCUCGCCACAUUCUCCACAAUGUCCUUCCUACAAUUAUUCAGCAGAUAGGACACACUGGAAGAGUCAGUGCGAUAGAUCCCCUCCUUCCAUAAGGGGGUCAAAUACAUAUAUAUUUUUUCAUCAAGUGGGCAAUGAAAUACGUGUGUGAUGGAUUCGACCUGUUUUGUGCCACAAGGGCAGCCCCUUUCAGAAUAUGGGAUUUUUGAGAAUGUACCUUGCAAAACUGCAGACAGCAAAACAUUAAAUCUUGCGAGGGAAAGAACUCUGCAUAAAUGGAGAUCGUAAACAUCCUGGGUUCGAACAGGCCACAACUUUACUGAUUACAGAUGCAAGUAGCUUUUGGCAUAGAUAUUUAUCCUGAAUCAACCAACUUGACUGCUGGCUGGCAGACUAUUUUGCAGGGUCAAUCCUGGGUUAAGGAAUUCCCUGUGAUGUACAUCAAAUAGAGGCGAUCCCUUCAGGGCUGCCACUUUUUGGGGGAGUGCUAUGGCCACCAGCUCCCAAAUGGGCAUCCGGAUAGAAGCACCUCCCCCCGGACCUCUGUAACAUGGCACCCCUGAUUCCUCAAGGCAAGGGUAGGUGGCUUCCCAAACCCCUCCGUCACCUAGACUAAGGAUCCAAUCCAAUGCCUUAUCCGCCAACAAGUUGUGACAAUUGCUGUGAGGUUGGCAAUACCCUCCAUACAGGCCUAAUUCAUCUGCAGGCAAAUUCCUCCCUGGCCCCGAAUACAGCGACCAAAUAUUUCCAUAGCAAGGGCAUAUUCAGAACCUGCCUGCUCCCCACCUCUACACAGGGCAGGAGGAUGGGGAAUCCAGCUUUGACCGAGUUAACGAGUCUUUAUAUGUCCAGUGAGUGGACCUGAGUGAAGACCAGGAGCUGAGGUUCUCCACAAAGCCAGGCCCACCCCCCUGCUUGCUUCUGGUACACAGCUUGCCUGUGAUAGGUCCCCUUGAAUACAAGCCUACCAGCAACCUACAUAGCCAGAGGAGGAUGGAGUAUUGGCUCCCAGUGGUCCUGCAGGGCCAGAAGGUUGUCCCAGGCUAAGACCAUGGUCACGCUGGGUUACAAUUGCUGCUUACCAUCAUACAAAGGUAUAAUAAUAAUAAUAAUAAUAAUAAUAAUAAUAAUUUAUUAUUUGUACCCUGCCCAUCUGGCUGGGUUUCCCCAGCCACUCUGGGCGGCUUCCAACAAAGAUUAAACAUACAUUAAAAUGUCACACAUUAAAAACUUUCCUGAACAGGACUGCCUUCAGAUGUCUUCUAAAUGUCAGGUAGUUGUUUAUCUUUUUGACAUCUGGUGGAAGAGCGUUCCACAGGGUGGGCGCCACUAUCGAGAAGGUCCUCUGCCUGGUUCCCUGUAGCUUUGCUUCUCGCAAUGAGGGAACCACCAGAAGGCCCUCGGCGCUGGACCUCAGUGUCUGGGCAGAACGAUGGGGGUGGAGACGCUUCUUCAGGUAUACUGGGCCGAGGCCAUUUAGGGCUUUAAAGGUCAGCACCAACAUUUUGAAUUGUGCUCGGAAACGUACUGGGAGCCAAUGUAGGCCUUUCAAGACCGGUGUUAUGUGGUCUCGGCGGCCACCCCCAGUCACCAGUCUAGCUGCCGCAUUCUGGAUUAGUUGUAGUUUCCGAGUCACCUUCAAAGGUAUCCCCACGUAGAGCGCGUUGCAGUAGUCCAAGCGAGAGAUAACUAGAGCAUGCACCACUCUGGUGAGACAGUCCAUGGGCAGAUAGGGUCUCAGCCUGCGUACCAGGUGGAGCUGGUAGACAGCUGCCCUGGAGACAGAAUUAACCUGCGCCUCCAUGGACACCUGUGAGUCCAAAAUGAGCAUUCCUUGUGAGUAAGGAAGCAGCAUAUGACCAAGGGAGCGCUACAAUUUCAGCAAACUGGAUCAGGGCAAUAGCUGCAUGUUCACCUCCGGUGUGUGGGGGGGUGUCACUUUUUUUUUGCUUUGUCCCUAAAUUCACCCUUUCCAUGAUUUCAGUGCUAUGCAGGUAAAAAUUCUCCAAAUGGCUUCCGGGUCUGGGCAUUUCACAGGUCAGCAAUUAGCAUUGUGUUUCCCACAUCACAAUAUUUCCCCCCCCCUUAAUUGUGCAAUGCAGAUGCAGGGAAUGAGUCCUGCAUCCUCAAAAAGCCCAAAGGAAACAUAGUCUAUGACUCAACCCUAAGAUCAUGAACAUUUUGUACUGUAGCUGCCACUUACAAAAAAAUAUAAAAAAAUCUGUCCGAAAUUCGAACCCGUCAUCUCUCAAACAUUUAAAUAUAAUUCAUUAAAAAGACAAAGGGAGGGGAGGGAAUCAUGUAGCAACCGCAUAACAAGAAGAGGGAAAAUGUACACAUUCAAAACAUAUGGGUGAUCUUUAGAAAAAUCUCAGCAUCACUUCAUAAUUAUAUACUACAAGUUUUAAUUAACUAAAGCUCUGAAAAUCAUAAUGCCUUAUUAAAAUGCAAUUAAUCCUUUGAUUAAAAAACAAAAAGCACAAGUAUUUACAACAAAAACACAAGUAGAAUAAUUACAAAUAUCAUGUACCCAUUUCUUUUAUUUGGGUGUCACUUAUGAUGUCUCACAUUCCCUUCAUUAAUUCAAAUACACACAUUAUCUCAAAUCCACAGCCGAUUGAGUGACAGUGGCCACCAAACACACAGCACUAUAUCCUAUUGAUUUCGGCAAAUCCUGAACAAUGCCAUUUGCAUGCUUGUUUCUGUAAUAAUAAAGAUAUGCCAUUCAGAAUUAAAGGACCGGCCAGACUAGUGGCAACUAAUUGUGUUGUGUGUAAUGAGUGCAAUUUCAAUUUGAUAUAACCCUCAGCUUUUCUUGCAGCACUCGCUAAGUACUUUCAAGUCUUUGUGGGGAAAUAAUUGAUUUUUUUUGUGCUGUGGGCACAAGAAAAUUAUUAUGAUCUUUUGAAUAAUGCCAAAGAAAGGACCAUGAAUGAUUUAAAUUGGUAUGUGAAGAAGGCUUCACUGUGGAUUGCAGUUUGACUGACACCCCUACUAAUGUAGUAUCUAGAUUAGCAAUUUUUAAGGAGGCAGCCAAUGUAAAAACUGGUAAAACAGAAAAACAUUGCUAACGGGGAUUUUGAUUUUGUUCUCCAGCAAGGGAGAACAAUACAGUCAUUUCAUGCAUGUCGGACAAGCACUACACCAUUUAUUACAUAAAUGCCCUCGUUUUUGUCUUUAUGCCAUGUGAGUUGGAGGUUACAUUUCAACUGAUAAGUUUUACAUUAUAUUAAAAAAAAUUCUAGAUGCAAUAGCUCAGUGCAAAGUUACCUCACCAACUGAAGCCUAUUGGGCAUGAGGGGCUGCUGUGGAUAUUUAUAACAUCUAUUUCACUGUUCAGCUUAACCCCGAGAGAGAGAAAACUGGGAGAGCCCUUUUUGCCUAAAAGAAAAUUAUCUUCCCCUCCUUUCCGAUAUUGCUCACCUUCUCCUUAUCAUACAUUCUUUGUCAUAUUAUGUGGCAGAGAUCUCCCAAGCCAUCUCAAAUCUGAGACAGCUGGCACUCUAUCCUCAAUAUACUUUUACUUGGAAUUAAGUCUCAUUGAUCUCUACUGAGUUUGGUUCCAAACCAUUGUGUUUCAGAUCACAGCCUGUGUGUGUGUGCCUGCGUGCUAUCUGCCAGUCCAAGAUCAGAAAAUUAUUAAUUGCCCAGUUUUUAAAGCAUUUAAUUGAUCAAUUGAUUAGGCUUAAAAAAAUUAACCCGAGAAAUCACCUAACAUUUAAUAAACAAAAGCUACAUUUAUUGUUUAAAGAGAAGGUCAUAUUUAAAAUUUCCUCCUUGUUCCUAUAAUACACCAAAGUCAUUAUUAUUAUUAUUAUUAUUAUUAUUAAAAAAUAUAGUUCCUGAGCCUUCAGCCUUGAACCUCAUGAUUUAAAAAAUCCCCAUUGGAUUCAUCAUGGAACAGCUCAACCCUAUGCGUGUCUGCUCAAAAGUAUGUUCCACUUAGUUCAAUGGAGCUUACUUCCACAUAAGUGGAUGCAGGAUUACAGCCUUUUUUUAAAAAAAAUAAAGCUGAUUAAUUCACCUGUUGAUUAGAGUUGGUGGUGUCCAUUGUAAACUUCUGCAUUGAUUUUAAGCAGAUUCGCACAGAAGUAAAUUUAAUUCAAAUUGAUGGAACUUCCUUUUAUGUGACUAGUAUGGCUGGGAGUGAAAUAUCCCUUAAUAAUUGCGCGCACUCUCUCUCUCUCUCUCUCUCUCUCUCUCUCUCUCUGUGUGUUUUUUUAAAUCAACCAUCUGCACAUAACCAAAUAUACACAUUCUCCAAAAUGUAUCACCUACCUAUAAUCAAACAUGUAUAGGUAGGUUUGGAUCAAAUCUACAUGUUCAUCAAUGGCUACUAACUAAUUGCAUCUAGAGGACAUGGGCUUCUUCUAUUUAGGCCUCUUGCUUCUUUUCUCCGAAAUGCAUAACCUAUUUUCUUAGUCAGCCCCAUCGCCGCCAAAUGUGUGCAUCUCGUGAGAAGCAAACAAGCACAUCUCUCCCCUGUUUUCAAAUACAAUUCCACCUUAAAAUGCAUACCUUCCAAACCUUAUUCUUCAGAGGCGGGAAUGUUGUUAAUUUAGUUGGUCGUAACUAAAUAGUUUCUAAUCUGGAGCAGGAGUCUGCUGAGAAUAUUGGACAGUUUAAAGGUUAAUCACCAUCGCCUGGUUACACAAGUGAGGCAGAACUAAUUCCUGCAAAGGCAAAUGGCUUCCAGUUUUAUCAGCAGCGCAGAUUAGAAGUGUUAAUAUACAGAAGAGAAUAGAUGCUCAAGGGCCAGUUUUCCCCUUAUCGGCAAACUUUGCAACAGAACUCGGCUACUGCACAACCUCUGCACUUUCUAUAAUAAGGCGACUCAUUUUGCCUCUCGAGCAGAACUAUCAAACAAUCCUCCCCAAACCACUGCCACCAAAAUCAGGGUAUUACAGACCACAGCUAAUUGGAAGAUCACUAUAAUGAAGUAAAAAGAUAAAAUACUUUUGGCUGCAGGCCUAAAACGUGGAUCAGCACAACAUAGGAAGCUAUCUGGCUAUGUCACAUUCAGAGAGAUUUACAUAAACAAUAAACUCAAACCGACUGCCCCUGCAAAUACAUCUUUGUUUACAGCUAAUGCAAUCUAAAGCACUGGUUGUAGAAAAGAAGAAAGCAAGGCGGGGGGCGGGGGGGGAGAGGGAAGGAGAGGGGAGAGGAGAUGUAUUUACAUAUUUCAAGUUAUCAACAGAUCCAGUAGCCACCGACCCAAACACCCCGCAACCCUGGUUAUUUUGAAAUGUACUCCAUGCAGAGAAAAUGUGCUAAGAUAUGCAAAUAGACACGCUAUACAGUAUUUAAAUAUGGGUGCUCUUCAACGUUCGCCUGUGUUUCCUUUGCCGGAGGAGAACGGGCACCUGCUCUUCCCUAAAUACAGCUCUUGGGCGGAGGAAAGCCAGGACAAGCAAGGAGGGGAAAGCGAGAUCCAUCAAUAUUGCAACCGCUAUAUUUCUCAAAUAAAAUUUAUUGACAGGGGACUUGGUGGGUUUGAUUGUUUGCUAAGGGAACACUUUCCAAAUGUCUGAAGACAAUGAGAGGGCAGUGCAUAGGAAAGAGUCAGAUUAAUGCAGAAUGAUAACAGUAAUUCUGUCUCCGAUGCUAAUAGCUGCACUCUCUCUGCUCUUAAAGACCUGAUCCAGUUUCUAUUUACUGUCAUGGUGACACCGGUUCCAUAUUCUAGCGUUCUUAGAGAAAAGCCAGAGGAGCUUGGAAAGGCAUGUGGUUUUAUUGAUGAGGCAAGAUGCAUAGUUUUAACUGCAACAGCAAUAACCUGGUUGUCACUUGCCUGCCACAUGUUGCCAUCUAUGAGCCACAUCUCCCACAAGUCGUAAGCCAAUGCAUUGUAAUGGCAUGGGAUUUUCGUGGAAGUGUUAACUAAAGGUGACAGAGAAAGCACACCGACAAACAAAUUCUGCAGGGGAAAUAAAAGGACAAUUGGUAUAUGAAAACCUUAAAGAAGGCUUAGAGACAGAAGGGGCUCUUUGUGGAAGACAGGAAGGCGUAUUGGGUUAGUCAAGAAGAGGGGGAACUUAGCAGGAACAAGGGAAAUCUUUGUCUGAAACUCUGCUUUCCUUGCUAAUAAUGUUAAAAUUUAUAUGCAUCACAUCAUAUCAGUGGCAUAACAUAUGUAUCACGGACCUCUGUAAUCUAUUCCCAUGAUUCUUCCAACUCAAAAGAUGGAGGUAUUAUGUACACCUGGUGCACAUCUUAUUGUACAGUGACAGAUUUACAUGACCUCCCGUAACACCCUGCUUACAAUAUCUCUACAUUUUUAGUAAUGUGAAUCAGCCACAAUAUUGGAGAUUAUAUUGAUCUGUUUCCCACUUAAAGCAAAAGCUGCAAAGAGGGCACAAAACUGAAAUCAGACAAGAGAGUGAGUCUGUAAUUAAAAAUACAAUGAGUCACACAACUAAUUCAAGUCCAUGGAUGCCAGUGGCUCUGCUCUGAUUAUGACUCAGGACAGCAUUCAACUAAAUAAUUGUGCAAGUGCAAGGAUUGUCACUACCACAAUGGGGCGGUCACCCCUCUUGUCCCCGCCCCCGUGCACCCCACGGGGUCUCCAAAUCUGCUCCAGAAGGUUGGAGGAAAACCUAGAACAGAUGUGGUCAUUGUGCUGGGGGAGGAGAGGGUUCAGUUGCACAAAGAGAAUUCUUGUACUGAUGUAACCUUAGCAAUACACUGAAUAUCGUUCUCUGUCGGUUACAAUGCAACAUUUCAUCUCAUGUUGAAUCCUUGUACAGGGUUGACAUUCUAUGGAGCUUGCUGGCUUAUGGGAGGCCACCGGUUGCCACUUUCCGAGAGUCCAUAACAUAUAUGUUUCAGCGUUCAGCAGGCAUUCGACGGAAAUAUUGACAUGGAGCACUUCAGCACAUAGAAUCCCAAACAAUGCAGGUGGUCUCUUGGAGCUAGUCCCUGUGAUUACGAAGAGAUGAACUUUGUGAGGAUAAGAUGAACUGAGAAAAUCUGAAAAACCAGGGGUUUGGAGAAAUAGGGGGUUAUCACCAGAGGUUGCAUACAGAUGAAAUAAUAAAGGGGAAGGGGAAGUGUGAGAACGGCACUGUGAACUUAAGACACACAAGAGUUGUAGCAUAGCAGCAAACUGGUGUAUCAGCUAGCUCUAAGGAAUGAGUGAAUCUGUUGGUUUCUCAUUUCUUUUCAGUCUUUAGUUCUCCCCAGAGACAUCUGAUUGGCCACUGUGGGAAACAGGAUCCUGAGCUAGAUGAGCAUUUGGUUUUAUCCGACAGGGCUCUCAGUCUCCUGUCUUAAGAACACAAGAGCCCCUUUGGAGCAACACUGCCUUGGGAUGGAAGAAGCUCAACUGCCUCCCAUCAAAAUAGAUGGUUAAAUGUGCCUGUGCAUUUAAUGUGUCUAUUUUCUACUUUAAAAAACACACACCAAAACAGUUAUAGAGUUUAUCAGGUGCAGAAUCAUGGUGAGUGAAUGAAAGGAGAUUUAACCUUGUUCUUCCAGCGUGAUGAAUAGCCACCACAUACCAAUUUUCCCAGCCUUUCUCCCCAGAAGAGAAGCUAGGAAUAUGUGGAGCUGACUCAACCACUGGCCAGACCUUCGCUGACUUGCAGCAGCUCUCCAGGAUUUCAGAAAGGAGUCUUCUCCUGCCCUAUAUGGAAUUGAACCUGGCAGCUUUUUUUGCACAUAGUAUGUGCACUUAUUGUUGUUGUUUAGUCGUGUCCGACUCUUCAUGACCCCACGGACUAGAGCACGCCAGGCACUCUUGUCUUCCACUGCCUCCCGCAGUUUGGUCAGACUCAUGUUUGUAGCUUCGAGAACACUAUCCAACCAUCUCGUCCUCCAUCGUCCCCUUCUCCUUGCGCCCUCAAUCUUUCCCAACAGCAGGGUCUUUUCCAGGGAGUCUUCUCUUCUCAUGAGGUGGCCAAAGUAUUGGAGCCUCAGCUUCACGAUCUGUCCUUCCAGUGAGCACUCAGGGCUGAUUUCCUUAAGAAUGGAGAGGUUUGAUCUUCUUGCAGUCCAUGGGACUCUCAAGAGUCUCCUCCAGCACCAUAAUUCAAAAGCAUCAAUUCUUCAGCGAUCAGCCUUCUUUAUGGUCCAGCUCUCACUUCCAUACAUCACUACUGGGAAAACCAUGGCUUUAACUAUACGGACCUUUGUUGGCAAGGUGAUGUCUCUGCUUUUUAAGAUGCUGUCUAGGUUUGCCACUGCCUUUCUCCCAAGGAGCAGGCAUCUUUUAAUUUCAUGACUGCUGUCACCAUCUGCAGUGAAGUAUGUGCACUAGCACAGAGAUAUCGUUCUUCCCCUGAUGCCAGUGGCAGUUUCCUUCUCAGGGGACACAGUAGCUUGGAGGAAGGAGGUUGACCGAUACCGUAGCACAGGGAGAAAGUGUGCAGAUGUUUGUGUACUUUGAAAUUAUAUACCUUGGGUGUGGGGACUAACGGGUGGACAGCAAAAGUGGAUCCUGCAAGCCAGAAUGGUUGCAAAGAGACUUGUACUUCCAAAGUUGCAAGGAUGAACAAUCACCUGGUCUGAAGAUCUCACUGCCCCUUUCUGUAUUUGAAUAUAUAGCUCACCUGCCUAUCUAUUGGACUGCUUAUAUUAAUGUUUAAAUUAGGACUGCUGGAUUAUUCAUAUUGUUAAUGUGAGCUGACACUGUUUCUUUCCCCCCCCCCUUUCUGUUAUACUUGCAAUCACAAGUAUUUUAAAAACCACUGCUGGCAGGGAACAAGGCCAUCUUGCAGGAUCUUAUGGCAUGCGGAUAUAUUUACAUGAGUUUCCUAACUACAUAAUUACGAGAUAUUACUUAAAUCUUAGAUCAAAUGCAUCAUGUAUUGUCACACUAUAUCAUAUUAUAAGAACACCCAUAGUUAUAAUUUCUUCUCUCUUUUUUGGUACAGAAUAAAAGACCACCAGUUUUGUUGGAAAAUCUGGAGUGUUUGCAUUCUUCCCUCCCAAAGCAAUUUCUAAGUAGUGAUUGCCAUCCCAUCCCACAGUUUCCUCACCUUCCUGAUCGAUUUUUGGAAGAUUACUGCUUCUCCAGCUUUUUGCUACCAUUAUCAGAGCUGUUAUCAACACAUGUGAUACCAAAGCCCUUUGCUCUUUCUUUAUUAUUUAUCUACUAGCUAAUGUGGCCUAACGGCAUCAUGAUUGGAUUCAUUUGCAGUUUGUGCCUCUUGAUCUCACUUAUGGUGCUUCUGAUGCCUUCCCAAAACAGCCUGCACAAGUACUGGGGAACCUUUGGGCCAGGAUACUCCAAGUGUGUCUCAAUCGACUCUCCUAACUCUCCACAGGCCACACACCCCUCCCUAGUCUAUUGGCCCUGCUUCACAUCCUCUGUAUUUUUGCUUGGCUGGGAUGUGUCCUUGAAGAGUCAGCUCCUAAGAGUCAGCUCCUAUGCCUCUUGCUUGCCUGGAAUGAGGCUAGAGAUCUGAGUUCGCUGUUUUAUGGCUCUGUUGGAUUUUGACAACUUCUUAUGAGCAGCUGCCCUUCAUUAUUUUAAGGAUGAAUUUGAUGGUAUCUCUUUUUACCCUUAUUCUUGCCAUCUUUUCAGACCCUCCAAGUGUCCCUAUUUUCCAAGGACAGUCCCAGAUUUACAGAAGCCAUCCUGGUUUCUGAUUUGAUCCCAGAAUGUCCCACUUUUCCUAUUUUCAUUGGAGAAAUGUUGGAGAGCAUGGAGUUAUCCGAUCCCCCAGCCAAGGAAAAAAGUAACUAUACAACCUUUAGAAGACAACAGAAGGCAGCCCUGAAUAGGGGAGGUUUUCUAAAAAAUGUUUUAUUAUGCUUUUAUAUAUGUUGGAAGCGACCUAGAGUGGCUGGGGCAACCAGUCAGAUGGGUGGGGUAUAAAUAAUAAAAUUGUUGUUGUUGUUGAAUAGGGUGUCCAUAUUUUCAUUGGAGAAAUGUUGGAGGGUAUGUCUUUAUACUGAACAGUGGGAGCCUAUAAAUUUACCAAACAGAUAAUUAGAAUGGCCUUCAAGAAUACACAUCUUUACCAUGGUGAGUAGACAAGAUGGUUUCCAUCCCCUUUGCGGUCCAGGAACCUCUGUCCAGAUACAACCACUGCUUAAAAAUAAAUUACAUUAUUUAUCUCUGCUUCCUCCCACCACCACCACCAGGCAACCUAGCCAUCCUCCUCUGUUGUUUAGAUUUUCAUUCCAAUUCCAUCAUUUUCCCCUUCCCACAGACAAGGUUCCUAAGAAAGCCAGCCUUGCAGCUUUUCAGAAAAAGAUUAGAUGCCCAUGUUUCUGGGGUGCUUUAGGAUAUUGUUAGGGAAACUAUUGUGGUUUCAAACCACUGUUAGAAAAAAGUAUGGGUGAAAGACUAGAGUUAACAGGAUGAAGGGACAAAUGUUGUGCUUUUGAAAAACAAGGAUGGGAAGCACCUGACUCCUCAGAUGUUAGGCUACAAAUCCCAUCAUGCUUGGCUAUGGACCAUGCUGGCUGAUGGGAGUUUGAUCCCAGCCACAUCUGGGGACCCACAGCUUCCACACCCCUGAUUUAAAACAACAGCUAGAUACAUUUAUUUUUUAAAUUAUUAGCCCCUUUAUUUGCAACUUAAAACACCAUGGGUAAAAAUAACAAAAACAACUAACUGCCUCCAUGGAACUUGUGACACAAGAGGUUGUUGGCAUUAUGAGUGGAAGGCUGGCAUAUUCCUAGCUUAUUUUAGCCUCGGUACAAGACCUCCCUCUGUUUUUGACCCAUCUUCCAUCUUGAAACAUCAAAAACAAUUGCUUUCAGGUGAUUAAGAAACAACAAUCCUUCCAACACACUCCAGGCAUCUUGGGGUAGGGGGCAGAAUGUUUUCUGCCUUGUGUAAAAAUCACAAACCCGAAGGCAUUCCCAAAUAAUUAUUCCCUUGGCUGUGUUGCAGUCAUCUCUGCAAACACUUGAGCUGUCAGCUCCAUCCCGCCAGUGACGGCUCCCUCUCAAACUACAUCUGUUACAUUAGGGAUUGCAUGAUGACCCUGACUCCAAAGAUGAAGCAACGUGCCCUGGAGCUGGCAAAUCAAUCAGGUUACACGCCUCCACUUUAAGCCAAUUUCCAAUUAUUUCAGGUGCUGGUUUUAACAUGUGCGGCUUGCCCUCCCACUCUGUUCCCUUUCUUAAUUAGCAUAUUAAGACCCCGUCUUCCCCAUUUCCACCCCAAAAUAGGAGCCUGAAGGCAUCUUGCAAAGCCAGUGAUUCUCAAUUAUACCAUCUCACUGAUAGCCAUGAUGGCUUUUCCCCCCUUCUUCUUCUUCUUUUGCAAUGGGUAUGACUGGGUAUAUAUGCCUGAGUAGCUGGUUGUUGAAACUUAUUUCAAUUAGUUGCUCAAAGGAAGAGCAGCAAUCUGAAUUAACAACGGGCCUCCCUUCCUAUUGGAAUGCCCAGCUGAAGAUGGGAAGUGCAUAGCCAGGCAUCCCCAAAUUCGGCCCUCCAGCUGUUUUUGGGACUACAAUUCCCAUCAUCCCUGACCACUGGUCCUGUUAGCUAGGGAUGAUGGGAGUUGUAGUCCCAAAACAGCUAGAGGGCCGAGUUUGGGGAUGUCUGUGCAUAGCAACGGGUUUCCUUUCUUGCCGCUCCAGAAGACAAGUUGCUGGGAAAUAAAUGGCCAUCAGCAUGCGUGUCAUAAGACUGGCAAACAGAACAAGUUAAAGGAAGAAGACAAAGGUUUGAAUCCUAAUUUCCCUUUUGUGAAUGAACAGACCUUGCUGGGGGUUGGAUUAGAUUACCUUUGGGGUUCCUUCCAACUAUACAAUUCUAUGAUUCAAUGACUUUUCCUACCUCUUCCUUCCUCUGUAUCUCCUCUCUCUCUUUCUCUCUGUUGUCCUUCCUGGGGUUGGGGUUGGAAGAGACCUUUCGGAACAGGAUGGCCACAUAUCCUAUUUUAUUGGCUCCUUAAUAUGAGUCUUAAUAUGAGUUUUGGUAGUUCAGAUCAGGAUUGCUUUUGAUCCCCUAGCAACUCAUCAUUUGUGCAGCUCGACUUUAUGCCUCAGAAAUAAAUUGUGCCGGAUUUUUAGUGGGGCUCACGCCACGGUUUUUGCAGCCUUAAGAAUAUGUUCGUUGUAAAGGGCUACCUCAUUCCCAACAAGAAGCAAAAUAAAUAACAAGGCAAAAACCUCAGUCUGUGGUAUGCAACAGGUUGAUUGUAGCCGCUGGAAAAACGGGAGGCGCUAGGAUUAACAGCAGAAACUAACAGCUGCUCCUAACAGAAAUGGUUUUUGUAGCAGCUUCCAUUCUGUGAAACCUCACUUCCCCUGGAAGAUCACCAGAUCCCUAGCUGGAGCACAUUUCAGAAGCAAUAGGAGAGUUCUCUGAUUGGGCAGGCGAUUGGUGUGGAGCAAAUAGGAGAGUUACUUUCACGCAGCCAGAUGAUGCAGUGGCUGUGAACAGGAAAGGCCAUGGUUCUAAUGCCACCUGAGCCAAGAUCUCGCUUAUUAUCAGCUUUGGGCUUAUUUGCAUGCAGAUGGUCCCAUGUUCAAACCAUGUAAUCUCUAGGUCAGGAUGGGGAAAGCACCUGCUUCAAACUGUGGAGAGUAGUUGCUAGUCAGAGUCAACAACACUUAGCUAGAUGGACCAAUGAUGUGGGCUCAGUAUAAGGUAGUUUGAUUACCACCUUGGCCGUGAAUCCUGAAAGACCUGCUCCCUGCCUUGCAGGCAUCUUUCCACUUGGGUAGGAGGAUGGAGCACUGACUGACUCCAGCUACAAAAGCUGAGGAUGCUGAACAGACUUUUGGACUAGAAUGUUGUUUGGGAUUUUUUGUGUGUGUUGGUUUUUUGCAUCUUUAUUUUAGAUUUUGUUGCAAUUUAUGUAGAAAUUGUUUGGUUUGGUUUUGUAUUUUUUAAUGUUUUGUUUCUUGUUUAUGACUACUUUUGUUGUGUUAUGUGUUUUUUCCAUGUUGUAAGCUGCCUUGAGCAUGGUUUGAACUGUGGAAAGGCAGCAUUCAAAUAAAAUUAUGUAUGUGUGUGUUGUUGCUGUUGUUUAGUUGUUUAGUCAUGUCCAACUCGUCGUGACCCCAUGGACCAGAGCACGCCAGGCACUCUUGUCUUCAACUGCCUCCCACAGUUUGGUCAAACUCAUGUUAAUAGCUAUGCCACUGAGGCAAUGUACACCAAACAUUUAAAAACAGAGCUAAAAACACAUAGGCACUAAAAAUUUAGUACCAAAGUAUUAAAAAGGAGUACAAACAGUGCUAAUUAGGAGUACAUCUUCUAUUUAUUGAACUGCAAAAGCCUGGAUAGAUAAAAUGUUUUGAGAUGGUGCCUGAAAUAACUCGAUAAUGUGAGAGACAGAUAUGCCUUUGAGGGAAGCUUGUUCCAGAGUCAAAGGCCUACUGUGGAAAUGGCCCUUCUGUGAAUCAUCAUCAUAGCAGGACUUGCUCUUGAGUAGAGUCAAAUAGGUUUUUUCAAGUAGAUGUAUUAAUUCAAUAACUAAAUAUUCUCCCACAAAUCAGAGUUAAAAAGGAAAUAUCAGGGAGCUUCAAGUGGCAUCACUGUGCUGACGCAAGGUAUCAAGCGAGGCAAUUUUCAGCACUCCCCACCCUCCAUAGCACCUCAUCUCCCCCAAAUCUGCUCUGGAGGGUUGAAGGACCCCUUGGAGCAGAUUUGGGUGGACAUGGCAGGCUCCAGAGGGAAGAGGAAUAGCUGGAAACUGUCUUCCUUCCUGUUGUAGACUGGCUGGACACAGAGGAAAAGUGAGAGGCACCAGCUGGGGAAGAAGACUCAGAGCCAGGGGACUGGUGGUGGGACUAUGACAAGUGGUCAGAAGGAGAAGCCUGGGAGGAGGAGGAGGUGUCAGAAGCUGAAGAGGUAACAGGGCGUGGUGAGCAGGGAGAGAAAUCCCAAAUCAGAAGCAGAGGCGGAAGCCAGAGAAGAGGGAGGCCAAGAGGCAGAGAUGAGUCAGGUUGGUGACAAAGCCAGGGUGUCUCCCCCUCUGGCUGUGACCAUCUCUCCUCCCCCUAGUCUCCCAGGACCAGAAGAGGUAUGAAGAGGGAGGGGCAGAGACAGGCAUGUUGGGCAUAGCAAGUCUCUCUGAAUUCCAAGGGGCUUACUCCCAGGUACACGGGUAUAGGUUUACAGUGCAUGUGUUUAAAAAGAAGACAUGUGCCAAUGAUUGUGCAGUUUCAGUGCGUGCUGAAAACCUGCCUGUUUACAGAGGCCUUUGAUUUAUGCAAAACAACAGGAAUUUUCACUACGACGCCUCCACAUCAUUUGGCUUAAGAUAUAUUUAGUUCCUGCUUUCAUACAUUGCAAUCCCUCAUGGGGAAAAACAGUUCAUAUAGAAGGAUGAUGCCUUCAAUGCACACGGAACCUCUGAACACAAACUUGGUCCUAGUGAUGUGCCAAGAUGUUUCCCAGACCAUUUAUCCUCAAUGAAUGAGAAAGUAAAUUUAGUUAGAAAAUUAUCCAAGGGAAUAAUGAGUGGGAUGUUGGCUUUUUAUUGCAUUUGCCUUACUUCUCAGGUGACCAGUGUCUUUUCUUUCUUUCUUUGGCGAUCACUCAUAGCCAAGUAAGAUUGUCUUCCAUGAACAUGGUUUUUGCAAUGACUCCGUAAGUGACUGUGGAGGCCACAGUGGGGACAUUGGUUUCCGGGCAGGAGUUGAUCACGCCAAGCAUGCCUUCCUCUUAGCACAUUUCUCCCUUGUGUCCGGAGUUUGAGUGUCUUCAAAGCCCAUGACACCUUUGGUAAACGCUGUUCUCCAACUGGAGCGCUCGCAGGCCAGUGUUUCCCAAUUGUUGGUGUUUAUACUAUAUUUUUUUAAAAAUUGCCUUGUCUUUAAACCUCUUUUGUUGACCACUAGCAUUACGCUUUCCAUUUUAAGUUCGGAAUAGAUUACAGUGGUAUCUCGGGUUAAGAACUUAAUUCGUUCCGGAGGUCUGUUCUUAACCUGAAACUGUUCUUAACCUGAAGCACCACUUUAGCUAAUGGGGCCUCCUGCUGCCGCCGCACCGCUGCUGCGCGAUUUCUGUUCUCAUCCUGAAGCAAAGUUCUUAACCCAAGGUACUAUUUCUGGGUUAGCGGAGUCUGUAACCUGAAGCAUCUGUAACCUGAGGUACCACUGUAGUUGCUUUGGAAGACAAUAAUCAGGCAUCCAAACAACAUGACCAGUCCAACAAAGUUGAUGUUGAAGAAUCAUUGCUUCAACACUGGUGAUCUCUGCUUCUUCCCGUAUUAGUAUUAUUGGUAUUAGUUCACCUGUAUUCCCAAGUGACGUGUAAAAAUUUUUGGAGACACCGUUGAUGGAAUGUUUCGAGGAGUUGGAGAUGGUGUUUAUAAGUGGUCCAUGUUUCACAAGCAUACAGUAAGGUUGGUAGUACAAUAACUUUGUAAACAAGCAUUUUGGUUUGUCUAACCUUUUGUGAGUGCAUUCUGCCCAUCCGCACUCUUGCAGUCUGCACCCUUCAGCCUUCCAAAGUGCCUGCACUCACAGGAAAGCGCAGCGAACAUGGACAUCAUGGAGUUUUUAGGAAGUGUGGGCUGGGAAGAUUGCAGAGUGCCAAGAAAUAAUUGCACAAUGAAAGAGGCUGUUCACUUACUCACACCCGCUUGGCCACGUCAUGUGUAAGGUAAGUGUAAACUGCUAAUUUUGUGAAUUUCUCAAGCCUCCUGAGAAAGAGGCAGAGACAAGAGGAAUCCAGCCUCUUUCACACGGGACAAAAAAUCUUCUGGAAAUCUGAAGGCAAGAUUCGUCAUAGCACUAAUUGGUAGCAUUAAAUUCUUAUCUCCUUUGGGUGUGCAUGUGUGGCGUCAGGUAUCCCUACUGCCACACUCCUGCUGAGAGAGAGAGAGAGAGAGAGAGAGAGAGAGAGGUGAUCAGUAUUAUCAGAGCUGAUCCUUGAAUGCAGCAGCUUAUACACAGUCCACUGCUUCUCAAGAGGAACUCUGAAUUGGGGCCAGUGGUUUGGUCUGUGCCCCCCCCCCCCGCUCCCUCUUCCUUUUUUUCCUCCUUUUUUUUGUAGACUUAUGUUUUGCAACAUGCUGUGAAUUCUGGCCUAUUGAUUAAUGGGUCUUUCAACAAAAAGCAACCUUAAUCUUUCCUUAAUUGCCUUAAUGGCUGUACAGCCUCGCUUUUAUUCUUUCUUCCCACAAUGUUGUUGCAAAUGCUUUUGUGUCUUAACUUGGUGCCCAAACUAAGAACUUAGAAGAGACUGGCUCCUGUCUAUUUCUCUCUGUGCGUGUCUCUUUCUGUGUCCUUCAAAUUCCCAUUCCCAAAUGCCUUUUCAUUUCCUUAGCUGAUGGAUGGCCCCUUGCUCGAUGGCAGAUUUUCCAAACUCCGCAUAAAUAAGCCAACACUUAACACAGCAAACAGUACGUCAUGAAGAAAGGGCUCCUUUCUGAUUGUUUUCAGUUCUGCAGUCUGGAUUCAGAGAUCACGCAGGCAACUCCAUAGGCACAUGCUAUAUGUAAGUAUUUUGUCACUCAGACAUCAAUAACGUUCAAAUCCACACUGAGAAUUUCCAUUACGGCUAUAAUCAUUCUCCUGCUAAAGACUGCAUAUGAUUUGUGCAUUUGAAGGCCAAUCUCAGAAAUAAAUACUGUAGAUUUCAAACAAAUUCUAAGAAUUUACUCAUUCCAUGGUACUAUUCAAUAAUAUCCAACAACAUCAGAGUAGGCCCCUUGAACUCAAUGCACCAAAGUCCAUUGGCUUCAAUGGAUCUGCUUUGAGUCCGAUCAACAUUGGAUACCCCACAUGGACUAUUAAUAUGUGCCUGCCCCAUGCCUUUAAUAGACAUACCUUCCAACAUUCCUCAGAUGAAAACAGGGACAUUUCUUACUCCCUGCCAACUGACCUUCCUUGGCCCCCACAUUUUUUAUGCCCCCCCAAGUAUUUCCACCACCACUACCCCAAUGGGGCACACACCUCUUCCAGGCAGAAUUGACCUGAACUUCACUCUUCUCUUUUCCAGGCUAAGCAUACCUGGUUCCUCCAGCUUUCCUCUCAUGGGACUUUCCCCCAACCGACCACCUUCAUUGUACUCCUCUGAAACUGUUCCAGUUUGUCCAGAUCAAGGAGCCUUUUUUGGCCUGAUGGGCUAGAUCACUAUCUGUCCUCACCCCCCAUAGGCUGGUGCUGACAGGUGGGCUGGACAACCCACUUGUCACUCACCAGGCAUCAUUAUGUCAGAUGACUGACAGGCGGUUUGUCCCACCCAGCUGUCCCUUGCGCAGCACUUCCCAAGCACUCAAUAGCCAGUUGGCUGCCAGGCACUUGGGAACAAUAGCGCAUGGGGUUUUGCUGGCCCUUUGCUCAGCAAAGCACCAAACAUAGGGCUGGCAAAGCUGCUCUCUGCAUGGAUCGACUCUGUGAUUGAGUGUCUCUCCCUGCAUCACAUAUGACAUCAGGUAUAGGGUAGGUGGGUGUGGUUUGGGGGAAAAGGCACACCUUAUUUGGCUGGAGAACUGAACUGCAAAUCUAUUAAAAGUACAAUUUUUGAAGGGUGGCCUCUUUUUCAUUUCCAUAUUGUUCAGAAAGUUUUAAUUAAAUGUGAACUGAACAGAAAUUUCUACCGCAUCAAUAGUUAUGAGUAGAAUGAGUAAGAAAAAACAUAUAGAUUUGUUAGAUUAUGGCUGAUGGCGGUGGGGUGGUGGUGGGGAGAUCACUAAUAAAUUGAUGGGAGAUAGAUAGAUAGAUGAGAGACAGAGAGACAGAGAGACAGACAGACGAAUGUAGCAUUAUUCAUGUGUUGCUAUAAUUCUAGUGGUCGGUCCUACAGAAAACCUGGGCUCAGUAGGGCUAUCUGAAGACAAUAUUUCUAGUGCAGGAGGUGUUUUUAAUUGUUAAGCCUAGGGAAUUAAUUGGAUAUUGAUUACAAAUGAUGGUUUCUUUUUUCCUGUACAAGUCCACGAAUUAUCUCCAGGAGGGUUCACACAUUUAUAGCACAAUUUUAUUUUAUUUUUAUUAAAUAUUUUCUUGGUUUACAAAAGUAUGUGCAAUGUCUCUCUUUUUUCCCCCAAGUAACAUUUUUUACAGAUCAGUUUCAUUUGUUGAGACAUUAGGAAGAAAAGGGGGAAAGAGGUGGAGGGGAAAAAGGUGAGUGGGGGUGGGGUGGCGAUAUUUCCAUUUUACUUAAUAUAUGUGGGGUUUUGUGUCAGCGUUGCUUGUGCAGGUUCUCUGCUGUUCGCUUGUGUUCCUUUGGUGGUGAGAGAGGUUGGAGUUGGCCUAGGGUGUGGUUGUUUGUUUGUGGUUGGCUGUGGUGAUCUUUGUUUUCAAGUGUGAGUGGGGUGGGUGGGUGUUUUGGAUCAGGUUAGCCAUCUUGAUUUGUAUGUUGUUGGUGGAUUUUUGUCAUCGUCUUGUUGGGCUGCGUAUGUGAUAAAGGAGAGCCAUACCGGAGUGAAGGUGUCUUCUUCUAUUUGUCCCCAUGUCAGUUUCAGUUUAUUGGUUAAUUUUUCUAGUAAGGCUGUUUCCCAUACCACUGGUCCCUGCUUACUCCUGACAGGUCUCUCCAGUGUCUGGUUAUGAUGUUUCUGUUGAGAUAAGAUGGCACCCGGCACACUUCCCCUGUGCCGAUGGACGCUUGUGCCGAUAGGAAAAACUUGACCUCUUAGCAGAUUCCUUAGCAGAGUUCUGCAGCGGUAGAAAGUGUUGCCUCGUGUGUGGAUAAUAAAUCAGACUGAACGCAGGCUUCUUGCUAAUCUCUAACAGCCUUAAUGAGAAGAAAAACAUCAUAAAUCAGCCCGGCGAGAGAGUGGACAUUCUUUCGUCUCUCAGCCAAAAAACGAAAGGAAACUCACACACAAAGAAAGAUUCCCGUAUGUGAACCAAACCACGCCUCAGAAUGUGAGACGUCACACAGAACUAUUUAACCCUGUAAGUUGUGAUUCUCCUCACGGUUUCUGGCUGCUGAAAGUAGGUGGGUUAUGAGUUCUUUAUGGGCAUUAUGGUCUUGGAAGAUGUUUAGUAGGGUCAAUUCUGGGGUGAAUGCUAAUACUUGCUUAGUUAUUUUACAUAGUUUUCUGGGUGUUAGGUACCACCUGUAGGUGAGUUUCAGAAUGAGUCCUUUUCUUUCCCCCCCAUUGAUAUGGAUUUAAAGGGGGGUUUAGACCACAUUCUGGUCCAUUGAGUGGGGCUAAUCUCAUAGCCUAUGUCAUCCUCCCAUUGUUUUUUGAUUGUGUCUAAGAGGUUCGUGGGAUUUCGGAGUAGUAUUUUGUAUAUUGCGGAUACCAUCCCUUUACCGUGUCCCUUUGCUGUUAGGAGAAGGUUUUCGAAGGUUGUCAGGGGCCUAGUUGCUGCUGAUUUUACUGCUGGAUUGUUUAAGAGGGCAUGUAAUUGGUGUUGUGCUAACCAAGGCAUUUGGGUGUCUUCUAGUUUGUCCUGUAUUUCUUGUGUUGACAAAGGUUUGUUAUUUUUAUAGAAGUCUAUUAGGCGAUAUAAGUCUUUGGUUUGCCAGGUUUUUAUCUGGAGGUUUUGUGCUGCAUGGUGGAAUAAUGGGUGGUACGCAUGGGGAAUUAGUGGGGAUGGGGUUGGGGAUAAUUUGCCUAUUUCUGUUUUCCAUGCUUUGAGCAUGGUCUGUGUGUACCUGUUAAGUGCUGUGGGAAUUUUCCUUAGUUUGUUUGGUAGGAGUGGGUAUGCUGUGGUGCAGGUAUUUUCAAUUGUGUUCCUCUCUAGGUGUACCCAUUGUUUUGUCUCAUCUUCUAGUAUAUAUGGAAUUAUAUGGCAUAUUUUGGUUGGCAAUGUAAUAUGCUUCUAUGUUGCGGAUUCCCCAUCUUCUUUCUGAGGUGGGGAGGUGCAGGUAUUUGGGGCUUAUUCUUGGUUUUUUAUGUGAGAAGAUAAAAGAGUGUAGUUUUCUCUGCCAUCUGCGGAGUUGGGUUGGGGGAAUCCAGAUUGGGAGGGUUUGGAAUAGGUAGGUUAAUUUUGGGAGGGUGAUCAUUUUGAUCAUGACUAUUUUGCCUGAAAGAGUGUAAUUCAUGUUGUUCCAUCUCUUUAGGUCUUUCUUAAUUUGUUGUCACAGGGGCUUGUAGUUGUGGAGGUACAACUUAUUGAGGUUUCUGGUUAUUUGUACCCCUAGGUAUCUGAACUUGGUGUGGCAAAGUUUUAUUUUGGUGACAUUAGUGAGUUCUUUUUGUGUGUGAGGAGGGGUGUUGAAGCACAUAGCUUCUGACUAUUUUGCAAAUUUACCUGUAGGCCCGACACCAUUGCAAAUGUGUUGAGUUCUCUGAUUAGGGAGGUUGCUGUGCUUAUGGUAUCUGGUGUUGUGACCAUUAGGUCAUCUGCAAAGAGCCCUAAUUUAUAGGUUCUGCCUUUUAUUUCCAUCCCCUUGAUGUCUGUGGCUGCUCGGAUUUGGAUUGCUAAGGGUUCCAGAGCCAGGAUAAAUAAGAAGGGAGACAGUGGGCAUCCUUGUGUGGUGUAGUGGUUAAGAGCGGUAGUCUCGUAAUCUGGUGAACCGGGUUCGCGUCUCCGCUCCUCCACAUGCAGCUGCUGGGUGACCUUGGGCCAGUCACACUUCUUUGAAGUCUCUCAAAGUCCCACUCACCUCACACAGUGUUUGUUGUGGGGGAGGAAGGGAAAGGAGAAUGUUAGCCGCUUUGAGACUCCUUAAAGGGAGUGAAAGGCGGGAUAUCAAAUCCAAACUCCUCUUCUUCUUCUUCUUCUUCUUCUUCUUCUUCUUUCAUGCCUCUUUGGAUUGCUAUAGUAUUAGAGUCCAUAUUGUUAGCUCUGCAUUUUGCUGAGGCUUGGGAGUAUAUUUGUUUGAGGAUUUGUAGGAAGUUGGGGCCAAAUUUCAGGUUAGUUAGUACUGCUAAUAUGUAUUUCCACUCUAAGCGAUCAAAAGCUUUGAGGAUGUCUAGGGACAUGAUUGUCAGUAGGAAUUUAGUUGCCUUGCAGUGUUAGAUCAGGUUCAAUAGUUUCCUGAUGGGGUCUGUUAUAUUGCGGCCAGGGACAAAACCAGUCUGGUCUGGGGCUAUUAACUUGUGUAGGAAUAUUUUUAGGCAGUUGGCCAAGAUUGAUGUGAAUAUUUUGUAGUCUUGGUUUAUUAAUGAGAUUGGGCGGUAUGAUUCUACUUUGAGGCUGUCUUUCAGUGGUUUGGGGAUGGAGACUAUUUUGGAGUGGGUCCAGGUUUUGGGGAUGGGCUCCCCUUUUAUGAUGUCAUUGAAUAGGCGGGUCAUUUAGGGCAUCAGGGGUUCUUUGAAUUUCCUAUAGAAUUCUGCUGUGAAUCCGUCUGGACCUGGGGCUUUGUGUGGUUUUAGGUUUUUGAGGAUCGUAUCUAUUUCCUCUGGGGUGAUAGGACUAUACAUGAAUUCCUGUUCCUUAUCAGUUAAAGUAGGCAUGGUCAGUCCUGCUAGGAAUUUUCUGAUUUCCUUCUCAGGUGGGUUAAAGGAGGUGCAUAGGUUGGAGUAGAAUUCUGUUUGCUGUUGUUUCAUUGUGGUGGUCGUGGCUGCCACUUGGUGGUCUGUCGGUUGCCAUUCCAGUGGAGGGUCGAGUUCGAGGUUCUUCAGUAGUUGCAGGACUUCAGAUAUGUUGGUAGCCAUGUGUUGUGUUGUGUUGGUUGUUACAAUGAGGUAGAAGGGGAAGUCCCAUCGGUACUUGAUCCCUGCUUGUUGGAGAUGCUGGGUGCAUGGGUGUAGGCUUUUCCUCCGAUUUAGGGUGUCCUGAGAUAAAUCCUGUAAGGCUAAUAUUGGGUUGUGUCCGUAUCAAAGGUUGGUUGAGUUUCUGAGGUUAUUUCAUACCUCUUCUUUCUUUUUGUAGCGUGUGAAGCACACAACGAUGUCUCUUGGGGAGGCGCUAGGUUUCAGCAUAGGUUUUAGGGCUCCAGGUCGUCUACAUCGAGUGCCAGGUUUGGGAUAGUAUUUUUCAGCCAGCGAACAAUUAGGUCUGCUGGGCUUUUCUCCUCCACUUUUUCAGGAAAGUUGCAGAAGCAGAUGUUGCAGCGUCUACCGCAAUCUUCGAGGUCUGCUUGUUUGAUUUUCAUUUCUGUGUUUUCCGUUUCUAUUCUUUCUAGUUCAGCCAACUUAUUAUUCACACGUGUGUUUUUCUCUCAGUACUCCUCUAUUAUUCUUUCUUGUAUUUGGUUCUUGUUUUCUAGAGUUUCCACUUUGGUGGUCAGGUCACUGAAUGCUUUCAGUAGUUCUGUUAGUCUUGUUUUCACUUCCUUCAGUUCUUGUUUUGUUGUUGCUGUGUCGUUCUCAUCUUGGGGGGGUGUUGUGUUCUCAGUGUUGUUUGCCAUCUCCCUGGUUGGUGUCACCGCAAUCUCACUGAUGCUUUUGGUUUAAGACCUGCUUGAUGUCCUCUUGGGGAGGAGGGUGUUGUGAUUUGGAGUUGUGGUGGUUCCUGGUUGUUGCUGAGCUGCACAGGCAUUGUUGACUGGUGGCUUUUACAAAGCCUCUGGAUUAGGCGGUCAUUUGUGUCCCAUCUGGGCUGUGUUUCGAGGGCUUCUCUGGGGUUCCCGCAGUCUCCUCAGUGGUGCACACUCUACUCUUCUUUCCCGUCAGCGGCAGCGAUGGCAGCAGCAACAGUAAGGUUGGGGCUCCUUUUUCUUUUUCUCUUUCCCCCUUUCCUUCCCCCUCUUCGCAUUAGCACCGCGGUCCUCCUGGUCCUGGAGCUCCUCUGGGUUGUUGGGUGAGUGGCCGGGUGCCUUCCUGGCUCGAUCAAGGUUGUGUGUGUGCGGGGGGUGUUUCGGCUCCUCUGAUAAAUGCACCGGGCACCCCGAUUCCUCUCUGCUGGUGGCGCUUGUGGCAGCAGUCCUGGCAGCCCGGGAGCCAGCCAGCCAGAGCCGUUUACUCGGAUGGCUUCAGGAGCUGCUUUCUGCCAUGGCGGCCGCCAUGGUGCCUCAUCUUUAUGGCACAAUUAAGGUAUAAUUCUGAAACUUCUGAAUGGACUGUGCUGCCAUAAAGAGGAAGUGUGGUGUGUGACGAGAGACAGCAUACAUUUUUUGAAUACUUAAGGCAGCCUGGACCAACCUGGUGCCCUCCAUGUGUAUCUGCAGGCCACCUUGAAACUAUUUGUGUUGUAGAGUGGCACAUUUUGGACUACAGCUCCCAACAGUCCCAAUCAGCACCUAUUGACAGGGGCUGAUGGGAGUUGUAGUUCAAAAUGUAUGGAAGGCACCAGGUUGGCCAAGGCUGACUUAUGGUGUCAAUUACCUUUCUGUGUGAUUAUUUUCAAAUACAUCAAAUAUAUUUGGUCCACAUGCACACAUAGACGUGCACACACAUAAUGGUUUAAUGCUGGAAUGGGAAACCUGGAUGUUAGCACUUCCAAGAGUCAGAAAUAGUUGGGCUGCCAACAAUGCCUGGAAGGCCACAAGUUCCUCAGUCCUGGCCUAAUGGAACAGUAUUUUUGGGCUGCAUUUGGGUUUAUGCUAGGGUUGCCAUAUUCCCAAAAGUGAAAAACAUCUCCUCCCAAAAGCAAACUUUUUGGCCUUUUUUUAAUUUUUAAUUUUAAUUUUUUUUAAAUUAUCUCCUCCUUUGCCAUAUGUCUGGGUUUCCCCAGACAUUUAUUUCCUCCCAAUUUGCUGAAAAUCUGCCUAGAUGCCAUUUUCCGGCCGAAUUCCCUGACGUGUCCAGGAAAACCCAGUCACAUGGCAGUCCUUAGCUUAUGCACAUUUCCCUGGGAGUAGACACAUGUUCUAAUUCUAGAAUUACACUGUUGUUUUUUUCCACAUAUAUAAUCACUGCCUCCUCUCUCUCUGUUUUGUGAUAUAUUUGGUGCUUGACGUCCCCAUCCUUCUUGAAGCACCAGACUGGCUGUCAAAAUGUAAGAUUUAUUGAGUCACAAGUUGUAAGAUUGGUCACAAGUUGUGAGAACCUAAUUUAUGGCACCCGAAUACUCACUGAGACACGGGUUGCUAAAUUGCAACCCAUAAGCCCUGUUGGAUCAAAUCAAAGGCCUAUCUAAUCCAGCAAUCUAUUCCCAUGGCACUCUCCACACAGAUGAUUCCUAGCAGCUGUUAUCACUUCCUAUAGCACUGGAAGUAAUAUUUAGCCAUCAUGACUAGUAGCUAUUGAUCACUUUAUGCUCCAUGAACUUGUUUUUCCCCCUCCUAUCACAGCCAUAGGUGGUUAUCGCUACAUUUUAUUGGUAGCAAAUCCCAUAGUUUAACUACGGGCUGAGUUAAGAAGUACUUCCUUCUGCCUGUCCCGAAUCUUUCACCAUUCACUUUCUGUGGCUGAACCCAGGUUCCAGUGUUGUGAGAAAUAAAGGUGGAAGGAAACACUUCUGUAUAUCUGUUUCCUUCACACAGUACACAGAUUUUUGCAGCUCUAUCAUGUCUUCCCCUUGCCUGCCAUUUUUGUAGACUGAAAACCCCCAAACCCAAAGAUCCAUCCUGUCUCUCUAACAUCCUCGUAGCCACGCAGGUCGCAACAUGACUUUUCUACCACUCAUCUUCCACACCUGUGAGCUAGAGUCACCAGGAAUCCAAUUUCAUUUUAUACUAGCUCAAGGUGGGUGUUGGCAGUGAUAAAGCUGAGACCACUCAUGUACCCAGAACGACAGACUGCAUGCACCAGUGUGAUGCUGGUGAAAACAGCAACCUCCAUAUUCUCCCUCUCUAUUCUGCCACACAUCUCCAUGACACAGCUUCACCAUCAUGUGAGUCUCCUCAUCCACAUUGGUUGGGCAGGGAAAUAGACAAAGUAAGGCCAUCAGAUACUAUGUGUUGACUACAUGUUUGGGGCUGACGUCAACACGAAGGGGCCAUUUUUAGCAGUAAUGUUUAGGUCUAACUUAGGGAUGGGGGAACUUAUGACCACCAGAUGUUAUUGGACUGCAACGCCUGUUAUCCCAUGCUUCAUGAGGCUGAUGGGAGUUGGAGUCCAACAGCAUAUGAGGAUCAACAGUUUCCCAUUCCUGGUCUAACCUAUGACAUCUUUCACAGCUGCGGGGAUGUUGAACAGAUAGACGGAUCCCUGUUGUGACUUCCCAGGUCAAUAGGAAAGGGAUCUUUUAAAGCUGGCAUGUAAAAAAAACAAUAAUUCUUAGGUGGGGCAUGACACAAAACACAAGGACAUCACAGUUAUCUUGCUCACUAUGAAAAUGCCUUAUUUACUUAUGGAAAAGCAAAUAUAUCUAUUUUCUUUUUUCAAAGAUUCAAGACCAUGCCAGCAUGCCAUGACUAAUGAUCAGUGCAUAUGAUUUUCAUGGAUCAAGGCCUAAUAAUCUAUCCAGGGCCUUCAAAUUAGGGACUGGAAAUAUAGUGUACAUUGCAAAGUUUUUGUACAUAUUCUUAGCAAUGACUUUAAAUAAAUAAAUAAAUACACACUGAUUUGCAGAAAUUUGUUUAAGCAUAAAAAACCUUUAAAAAAAGGGGGGGAAAGCAUCUUGAAUAUUUAUUUUGCUGGCCACAAUAUGCAUCUUAAAACUACCCUUCCAAGUAAAUUUGCUAAUCAGGCUAUUAAGGGAAAGAAGCAUAUCUUGAAAUAUUAAAAUUGUGUCUGGCAAUGACACAUUUUUUGCUAUUAAAACAUGUAUAAUGACUCUUAGAUUGAGCUUGCCAGAUAUGUUUAAUACAUAACUUAAAUUGCUAAUCCUCAGAAUAGGAGCAGAAGAAAUUCAGAACUGCAGAAGGCAGGAGAAAAAAUGCAGCACAGCAGAAUUUCUAAGAACAUUUUCCAAUUUUAUUUACCUGGAAAUUGGAAGUGCAUUUUAGUUUUGCAUGCUACACUUCAUACACUUUCUUCAGAUUCGUGAUCCACCUCUUUAAUGAGAGUAUUUUCCACAAACACACACAAAUAUAUACAUAUAUGCAAAGCGAUGAUAAUUUAGCAUUUUAAAAGUUUUUCCCAACCGUUCAGUUAUAUGCCCCAAACCAUAUAUCCACUGCAAAUACACCCUCCUAGUGACUGCAUGCAUUGAAUUAACUGUAUACUUAGAAGAAGAAAUCAGAAAUGGGCACUUCUUUUCUAUGCACACUUACUUGGAAGUAAAAGUCAUAGACAAAGUGGUUUUUCCUUCUAGGACUGGUCUGUAAGUUUGAUAUAUUUUCCCAAGGGAACAAUUUUUUUUAAUUGUUUCAAACUGAAUUCCAUCAAUUGUAAAAAAAGAAACCGUAUAGUUUUUGAGCAAAUAAAUUUAAUGUUUUUAUGUUAACAACAUUGACAGGGGGGGAAAUGGGUGUCACUUUUAAAAACCCAGCCUAAAGUUUGUUAGGAAAUAACAAUUUAUUAAGAAUUAUGAUAUUGUUAAAAGUCUAAUACAAUUAUGUAAGAGUAUUUGAAAUGGCUACUUCUAGGCAUUUCUAAAACACUACCUUGGUUGUGAUCCUAAAUUCAGUUGAAAUUAAUGGAAUCUUACUUCCAGGUACAUAUUUUUUAAGAAUGGGGUGUUUGUCGAAAAUUAUCCAUUUUAGCUACACCAGCACAUAUUUCUAAAAUUAUAUGGGGUGAGAUUCUCUGAAUCUGUAAAUAUUGUGUUGUCCAUGGGCAUAUGUCUACCCAUUCAAUGUCAUUUUUUACAUCUGCUUGAAUAGAAAUAUUAAAAUAUAGGUAGCAUCACAGGGCUGAGCUUAUACUUGGAAUUACAUCUAAGCAGUAAUAGCCUAUAUUUAUAUAUCAGCUAGGUGCAUCACUGAUAGCAACAUCUUCAACAUUCUGAUACAUUUGGAAAUAUAUUUUUCCUCCUUUUCUGGGUAAAUUAAUACUGGAUAAAAAGCACACACCUCAAGGUAAACACUUUUAUCUUUCUUGAAUAAAUAUAUAUUUGUGUAAUAAGUGUUCCUUUAUUGCAAAUUCUCUCUCUUCAGAUUAUGCUUUUUUUACAAGUUGCAAAUACAGUGUACUGUAUUGUGAUACUUCCACUUGUAGUGUUCUUUACUGCAAACUUGUGAUUAGUAUUUGGUGUGUUACAUUUUGGUGGUGUUAGUCAUUUAUUUGACUGCAGUUGUUAGCAAAACGUGCAUCUCCAUGUUGUUUGUCUUUUUAAUGAAACAAAAUACAAACACAAACCUUCCACAAUAACUGAUAUUUAAUGCUUCUGAGCACUGCUGUAAAUUUUAAAAUAGAACAGAUCGGUUAAAUAGUUAAAGCAUGAAAGAAAGUGCUAGCAAUAUGGACAGAUAUGAAAUGUUAAUAGCUCAAUAAAGAGACUCACACCAUUCUACGGGCAUGUUUUCAAAUACACCAAAUUAUCAUUUGGAGAGCUUACCUUUUGCUAAAAGGAUAAAACAUGGGGCAGCUGCAUAAAACAUGGGGCAUCUGAAAUAUCUCUGAAUGCAAAUGCUAAAUUGGUUUUAAACGGAUGUAUGUUUUAACUCGGCUGCACCAUUUCAAAUAAUUCUUUAUGUAGCAAAACAGAAUCCAUUAUUCACACAUGAAAAAGAGAGUGUUAAGCCUACCUUUUAAAAAAUUGACUGGUAGGGUUACAAGUCGCUGCCGCAGUUCUCUUAUGCAAAGACAUCAGCUUCUCUGCUUGUUUGUUGCCAAAAAGGGGGGGGGAAAGGAUGGGGAGGGGGAAAGAGAAUAAUUAUUUUGUGUCUGAGCAAAAAGAAGAAGAAGAAAAACCACUCUUUGAUAACAGCAGAUUCUCCUGUGCAUUAGCAAGGCUGUUGUUCCCCACUUCCUGAAGAUUAUCCACCUUUUUUUCCUAAGGCAUCUUGCUCAAGAGAAAUAAAUGGGGAGAAAACCCAGGACAGAUCAACUUGCAACCCCAAGUCAAUGAAACACUUUUGACUGAUGUCUGCUGAGCAGAAUUAGACCCCCAAUCCAAGAUAAAUAUUUCAAUAUUCUGCCCAAGACAGAAUGAGAGACAAUGAAGCACUUAUCCAAAACAGACCUGGCUUCGAAACAGAGGCAGAAUGCCUGAAUCAGGAAGCCUUGCUAUAGAAAAGUCUGCCUUUUAAAAGCUUCUAAAAAUUGAAUGAGAGAACGGGCAGAUAGAUAUGUGGACAUUAGUGUUCCAAGCAGGCUAUGCCACUGUCUCAAGACAGCCGUUUCUUUCUAUCAAGGGCAUUGCAGCAUCACAAUAUGGGUGCAAUUGCAGAAAAGUAGCCCAUCAGCUUUAAACUGCACUCUCUUCUCAGGUACAAAACUGAACAAUAGUUUAAAAAUUGACCUCUGCAAAACAAUUGUGUGCAAAAGGUCAUUUAUCUAAACCACUGCUUCGCAAAAUGAUGAAAUUAGAUACUCUCUCAGUUCUGCAUCCAUGAUGCGCUCCCUCCCUCUCUCUCUCUCUAUCCAGAAAUGUAACAUGUAGCACAAUCAAUUCUCUGCAUGUUUACAAAAAAAAAAAAAAAGCAAGUUCCACUGUAUCCGUGGGGUUUACUUUGUGUUAAGUGUUUUUAGGAUUACAGCCUAAAGCUCUCAAAAUGUAAUGAUAAUGACUUACUUGUCUUAUUUGAAAAUGAGCAUUAAAAUUAACUUUACAGCCUAAUUGCACAUUAAAUAUCACACUGACAUCAUCACAUGCAAGUGAUCUAUAGCCUCAGAAUCAAACACAACUCUGUGUUUCAAUGAGACUUACUUUUAAAAAGCAUGCUUUGAGACUUUGCUGUCAGUUCCUUCCAUUUGGAUGAGUUUAGGCACAGAUUUUACUUUUAUUUCCUGGGUAUAGAUCAUAUAGGCAGCAUGAACAUUACAGCAGCAUUGCAGCUACAGAGCAUGAUCACUUUCCUUUCCGAAAUUAAUUUUUAAAGAAAAUUUCACUUGCUAUGAGCUUUGUGGAGAAGAACAGAACCAUUUAACAACCUUCCUCUUAACAAGCUGCAGUCUUCUGAGGUAAAACAAAACAAAACAAAACAAAGCCCCACAGCGAAUAAAUGUUAAUAAUCUGGGUUCAUUUGCAGCAAGAACCAUGGAUUUUCAAAACAACUUUUAAUGAGAGAUAAGAGAGCAAAGGAAGUGUCACCGUCAAAAUCUGUGAUAAAACCAUGUGGGGGAAAUGAUAGAUACUGACAGACAGACAGACAGACAGACAGACAAAUAGACUGAAAGACAUAUAGACACAAAUAGACAGAUAGAUAACCCAUCUGUGUAAAUGGGUCUGUUUCCUAAUUGUCUUCAAAAACACUAUUAAUUAUUUAAGCAACUAUGUGAUGCUUUUACAGAGUUUUUACACGCCGGAUAAAUAAUAGGCAGGUCUCUUCCCACAAGGCGCUUACAAUCUAAAUUAGGCUAUAGGAAAGGCAACAGAGGUGGAAAAGAAUGUUGGAUGGAUGGAUGGAUGGAUGAAAUGAAUGUGUUCCUGAACAAAUGCAGAUGUGUUGCAUUUGUAAACAAGGACAAACUUGCUUUAUUCCCCAACGAGAAUGUGAAAGUGGAUGGCAUGUAGACCACUAUCUGCCAAGGUACAAGUGCCUAUCUAUAUCUGUAUCUGCUGUUUUAUACGCCAUCUUAUUUGUCUCAUGCUUUUCUUCUGUUGCUUGUUUUGUAAACUGCUUUGAGGCCCUUUAUAGUGAAAAGGGGCCUAUAGAAAAAAAGAGGGAGCUAAAUAAACAUAUAAAUAUAGAAAUAAAGCCUUUCCCUAUAUAUCUCUCUACACAUGGAUUCAGAAAAAGGUAUCUUCCCAUGUCAAGAAAGCAAUAUGCAAAUUGGUCGGGGCCAUCUUGACCCGCAGCUUACACCUGUACCAACAACAACGCUGGCGCAAUUUCUCUUACCUUAAUGAACUUACAUCUUUAAUUUCACAGCUUGGCCCCUUUUGCGCUUGGCCUGCUAAACAAAGACGCCGAACUGUUUCCAGUCCGUAGACGCCACCCUCCCCUCCAAACAGCUGUGGAAACUUUAAACCAUGACAAGGAUUUUUGCCCCUUGUGAAACUGUCAAAAGCAAUAAAUAUUUUUCUUUCCCCCCCCAUCAUUAGACACUCUUAAGAAUGCCUCCUCCAUUGUCCACUG